UCAAUAAUUGCGGACGUCCGCACUUUGCCGACGCCGCACCCAAGUUUUAGAGCGUUAUUGUUUUUCUAUAUAAAACCCUAGACUCCGUUCCUCUUCUUCACCCAUCCACAACACAUCGUAGUAAUUCCUGCGCCCUAGAUCUCCAUUUGCGAAAUUCCCCCAAAUUCACUUACCAAAUUUCUUGUUUUUUCUAACAAUUUAUACGGUUCGCAGACAACCCUAUGUAUAUGCAGCCUCAACUUUCGCACGUAGCAACCCGGGCUCCUCUGAAAAUUAUCUCAGGAAGAAAGAAGUCCCAACGCUCGUGCGAGAACGACGCCGUUUAGUGUUGCAGAUUUGCCUUUGUACAUUCUUCACGGCUUAUCUGUGUCAAAACAACGGCAACAUUCUUUUUAUGCGCUCGUAAAUUUCACUCUGUGUGUAUUUGUUGCAUUCGCUGCUGGAGCCCCGUUGAAGUGCGGAAUUAAGCUAAGUUGGUUUUUGAAGAAAUGUAGGGUGAGCAAAACUAAAUUAACAACGGAAUAAACUAUAUCCAAAUGUUGAAUUUUGGGUUAUUGGUGUAUUAAUACAAUAAUAACUUUGGUUUUGUAAUACGAACUUAAACAAGUAUUAAAUUUUCAAUUUAUUUAUCGGAGUAAUUUUGAUGGGAA